AACACUGUUAACCUGCGGUACCUGCGGAAGGAUCAUUAAACAACUAGGCCGUAACAAGCCUUGAACCCUUCUCUACGCGCACCCUUACCUUCUCCUUCGGCGGGUCAGCGCCCGCCGUCGGAACCAACAAACCCCCUUUUGCAUCUAGCAUACCACCCGUUCCGAUACAAAACACAAUCGUUACAACUUUCAACAACGGAUCU
rnacentral:misc_RNA from 1 species